rnacentral:rRNA from 1 species
AUUGAACGCUGGCGGAAUGCUUUACACAUGCAAGUCGAACGGCAGCACGGGGGCAACCCUGGUGGCGAGUGGCGAACGGGUGAGUAAUACAUCGGAACGUGCCCAGUCGUGGGGGAUAACGUAGCGAAAGCUACGCUAAUACCGCAUACGAUCUCUGGAUGAAAGCGGGGGACCGCAAGGCCUCGCGCGAUUGGAGCGGCCGAUGGCAGAUUAGGUAGUUGGUGGGGUAAAGGCUCACCAAGCCGACGAUCUGUAGCUGGUCUGAGAGGACGACCAGCCACACUGGGACUGAGACACGGCCCAGACUCCUACGGGAGGCAGCAGUGGGGAAUUUUGGACAAUGGGCGAAAGCCUGAUCCAGCCAUUCCGCGUGCAGGAUGAAGGCCCUCGGGUUGUAAACUGCUUUUGUACGGAACGAAACGGUCCUGGUUAAUACCUGGGGCUAAUGACGGUACCGUAAGAAUAAGCACCGGCUAACUACGUGCCAGCAGCCGCGGUAAU